AGGGCACCACCUGGAGUGGAGCCUGCUUCUUAAUUUGACUCAACACGGGAAAUCUCACCAAGCCCGGACACAUGAAGGAUUGACAGAUUGAGAGCUCUUUUUUGAUUCGGGGGUUGGUGGUGCAUGGCCGUUCUUAGUUGGUGGAGCGAUUUGUCUGGUUAAUUCCAUUAACCAACGAGACUCUGGCCUACUAACUAGACUUUGGAUCCCUUUGUGGGUCCAUCGCAGCUUCUUAGAGGGACGGGCGGCGUUUAGCCGCACGAGAUUGAGCAAUAACUGGUCUGUGAUGCCCUUAGAUGUUCUGGGCUGCACACGCGCUACACUGAAGGAAUCAGCGUGUGUCCCCUAUACGAAAGGAUUGGGAAACCCGUUGAACCUCCUUCUUGAUGGGGAUUGGGGAUUGCAAUUAUUCCCCAUGAACGAGGAAUUCCCAGUAUGCGCGAGUCAUAAGCUUGCGUCGAUUACGUCCCUGCCCUUCCAACACACAUAACCUUCACUACUCCCUAUCGACCGAUUUUC
rnacentral:rRNA from 1 species